CGCGGGAUGGAGCAGUUGGUAGCUCGUCGGGCUCAUAACCCGAAGGUCGCAGGUUCGAGUCCUGCUCCCGCUAC
rnacentral:tRNA from 1 species